GUGUUCGUGGGGAAGUGGUUUGAUCCUGGGGCCUCACUCAGUGGGUUAAGGAUCUGGCGUUGCAGCAAGCUGUGGCAUAGGGCACCAGCAGCUGCAGCUCCAAUUCAACCCCUAGCCCUGGAAUGACUAUAUGCUGCAGGUAUGGCCCUAAAAAGAAAACGAAAACAAACCUUCCCUUCUUUCCCAUACCUUAUGCCAACCUUCAAGGCUCUGUACACUUUGGCCGCUGUCUAGUUUUUAACCUUAACUUCUACUGCCUUUUUUUUUUUUUUUUUUGGUCUUUUUAGGGCUGUACUCGAAGCAUAUGGAGGUUCCCAGCCUAGGGGUCGAAUUGGAGCUGUAGCUGCCGGCUUACACCACAACCUCAGCAUCACGGCAACCCCAGAUCCUUAACCCACUGGGCAAAGCCAGGGAUCAAACCCACAACCUCAUGGUUCCUAGUCGGAUUCGUUAACCACGACGGGAACUCCAGCUCCUACCACUGUUGCCACCACUCAAAACUGCCUGCAAGCCCCUGGCAACCUUGGCUUUCUUGUUGCUUCUGAAAUGCAUGGGAGCCAAGGGCCUUUGUCUUUACUCUUUCCUCUGGCUGGAAUGUGAUUUUCCUAAAUUGAGCUUCCUCCCUCACUUUUUCCCACAUCUUUUCUCACAUGCAUGUACUAAGAGGUUUUCUUUGACCGUCCUAAUUAAAAUAGUCUUAUCCCCUAUCCCCAUUUCCUAAGCCACCCUUAACCCAUUCAUGUUUCUUCAUAUACUUUUGUACCCUAGAAAUUGUAUUCUAUUAGCCAUCAUGUAUCUCUUUAGAAUGCAUAUCUUUGAGGGUGGGAACUUUAGUUUUUUUUUUUNUUUUUUGUCUUUUUGCCAUUUCUUGGGCCGCUCCCACGGCAUAUGGAGGUUCCCAGGCUAGGGGUCGAAUCGGAGCUGUAGCCACCAGCCUACACCAGAGCCACAGCAACUAGGGAUCCGAGCCUCGUCUGCAUCCUACACCACAGCUCACGGCAACGCCGGAUCCUUAACCCACUGAGCAAGGGCAGGGACCGAACCCGCAACCUCAUGGUUCCUAGUCGGAUUCGUUAACUACUGUGCCACGACGGGAACUCCGGGAACUUUAGUUUUGUUGUUAAAUCACCAAGACUUCAUACAGCUUGGCAUGUGGUUGACUGUACGUAUUUUUUUGAUGGUAUUUUUUUCUUUGUUUAAAUUGAAGUGUAGUUGGCACACAAUAUUAGUUUCAGGUUUACAUCAUAGUGAUUUGAUAUUUCUAUACAUUAUGAAUUGAUCAUCGUGGCAUCUGAUAACCAUCUGUCACUAUACACAGUUAUUGAAUCUUACUGACUGUAUUCCCUGUGCUGUACAUUAUGUUCUCAUGGCUUAUUUUUUCAUUUUUAAAAAUAUAAAAAAUAUUUUUAUUAGGGUAUAGUUGAUUUACAAUGUUGUAUCAACUUCUGCUAUACAGCACAGCAGUGGGAAUGUAAACUGGUACCACCACUAUGGAAAACGGUAUGGAGUUUCCUCAGAAAACUCCACACAGAACCACCAAAUGAUCCAGCAAUCCCACUCCUGGACAUCGAUCCAGACAAAACUACAAUUCAAAAAGAUACAUGCAGCCAUACGUUCAAGCAGCACUAUUCACAAUAACCAAGAUAUGGAAACAAUCUAAAUGUCCAUCAACAGAUGUAUGGGUUAAGAUGCGGUACAUAAAUAUAAAAUGGCUUAUUUAUUUUAUAACUCAAAUGUUGUAUGUACCUUUUAAUCCCCUUCACCUGUUUCACCCAGCCCCACACUGCCCCCCUCUGGCAACCACCAGAUUGUUCCCUGUAUCUGUGACUCAUUCUGUUUUGUUUUUGUUUAUUCAUUUGUUUUUGCAUUUCUCAUGUAAGUGAAGUCAUACAGUAUUUAUCUUUCUCUGCCUGACUUAUUUCACUCAGCAUAAUACCCUUUAGGUCCAUCCAUGUUGUUGCAAAUGGCAAGAUUAUAUUAUUAUUUUUAUUUAUUUGUAUUUGCUUUUCAGGGCUGCACCCGCAGCAUAUGGAAGUUCCCAGGCUAGGGGUCGAAUCAGAGCUAUAGCUGUGGGCCUACACCACAGCCACAGCCACGUGCUAUACAAGCUUCAUCUGUGAUCUACACCACAGCUCAUGGCAACACCAGAUCCCUCACCUACUGAGUGAGGCCAGGAAUCAAAACCACAUGCUCAUGGAUACCAGUUGGAUUCGUUUCUGCUGAGCCACAAUGGGAAUGCCCUCAUUAUUGUUAUUGUUAUUAUUAUUAUUUGCUUUUUAGGGCUGCACCUGUGGCAUAUGGAGUUUCCCAGGCUAGGGGUCGCAUCAGGAGCUGUAGCCGCCAGCCUACACCAGAGCCACAGCCACGCCAGAGCCGAGCUGCAUCUUCGACCUAUAGCAGAGCUCACAGCAAUGCCAGAUCUUUAACCCACUGAGUGAGGUCAGGGAUCAAACCCGCAACGUCAUGGUUCCUAGUCGGAUUCAUUAACCACUGAGACAUGACGGGAACUCCCAAGGAUCUCUUAGAAUUAGCGUUUUUUUUUUUUUUUUUGGUUUUUUUAAAUGGUGUCUUGAACUAAUCAGAUGUUUGCCUUCCCCCUUACAUGUCUCUUCUUGAAUAUCUGCUGAUUAUCUAACCUGUACCAGGGCAAAGCCUGCUUUAGACUCAAGUAAUGAGAGUUUUCCAGUGCAAAAAAGAACUUCAUAGUUGUCUAGGAGUUGGAGCAUCUGAAUAGAUUAAUUUAGUUUGCAGAGUAUCAUGAAAUCUGGAUAAAUUGGUUGUGAAUAAUGGCAUAUAUAAUUAUGUGAAAAAAUCAGUUAUCAUUAUAUGUAUAGUGGUAUACCAAAAUAUUUAAAGAUAAUUUCUAGGAGAGGAAAGAAAACUUAAAUCUGUAAACGUUCUGAUUUAUGACUUAUUAGGGAUUUUUGCUGGAAAUUUGAAGAAAAGGACCAAUUAUUCUACUGCUGUUUUAGAAUCUCUUGGACAAUAUUGAAUCAUGGUGGUGUGAGACUUAUUAGCAAAAGCAUUAGAGUCCAGAAAAGUCAGGAGGGGUUUUUCCUUAGUGAUUAACAUUAAAGAUUAACAUUAUGCAGUUAAUUUAAAAUACUUUAAGAAAUAAUUCACUUACUCUUCUCUUUGUAUGAAUAUUCUGCUACUAAUUGUUAGAAGUAUCAAGGAAACUUUUUCCCCCAAUCUAAAGCUUAAGCUUUCCUUUACUUAAUUUCACCCCAUUACUCUUGCUGACAUCUCCUUGUUCAGAUUAAAUAGUCACUCUCCAUUUUCAGCCCUGCACACCUCAGCUGUGUUUCUGGAAUUUGUGAACUGGAUUAAAUUCUUCUGUCUCUCUCUUGGCUUUGCGCCUUCCUUUUCUCUUACUCUGCUUGGCACUUUCUUCAGUUUAUUUCAUGUUUUGAGAGUUAAAGUGCUCAGGCCUGCAUCCAGCAACUCAUCUCAAAGAGAUCUAUCAAAGCUGCUCUGUAUUCAUGUUCACUGGACUCUGGUCGGGCCGGGCAUUGAGCCUGUUGCUUUUUGCAUCGACUCCCAUUUUAACCAUUUGGCAGUCUUGUGAGGUGGUUAUCAUCAUUCUCAUUUUAUAGAUGAAAAAACGGAAUCAGGUGGAAAACCCGGGUUUCAGUCUCAGAUCUGUCUUAUUGAUUUUAAAUCCAAGGUUCUUUCUGCUGUACCCUAUGGCAAUAAGCCCGAGUUCUUUUUGGCAGCCUUUUCACAUUAUAAAUUAAGGUCUAAUUAACUUUUCAUUCAGCUUUAUGGAGAUAUAGUUGACAUAUAACAUUUAAGCUGUACAGUGUGUUGAUUUGACGCACAUCUAUUUCAAAAUGAUUGCCACCGUAGUGUUAGCUAACACAUCCAUCAUAUCACAUAACUACCAUUUCUUUCUUCGUGGUGAGAAGAUUUAAGCUUUACUGUCUUAGCAACUUUCAAUUAUGUAAUGCAGUAGUAUUAAGUAUAAUCACUAUGCUGUACAUUAGAGCUCUAGAAUUUAUCUUAUAGAUAUAAAUUUGUCUUUUAGGAGCUGCCCUCGCAGCAUGUAGAAGUUCCCAGGCUAGGGGUCAAAUCGGAGCUACAGCUGCUGGCCUGCGCCACAGCCACAGCAAUGCAGGAUGUUAUCCGCCUGUUCGAGCUACACCACAACUCAUGGCAACGCCGGAUUCUUAACCCACUAAGUGAGGCCAGGGAUCGAGCCCGCAUCCUCAUGGAUAUUAGUCGGAGUUCGUAACCAGCUGAGCCUCAGUGGGAACUCCCAGGAAAUCCUUGUGUGUUUUUUUUUUUGGAAGAGAAAGAAAAUUAGUAUUUGACUGUACAAUACACACACAUACCUAAAAUUUUUAUUAUGCAUCAUUUGAAAAUGAUGGGAACUCCCUGGAAAUCCGUAAUCCUGACUAACAUCUCCCCUUCCCCCGCUCCCCCCCAGUCCCUGGUAACCACCAUCUAGUCUCUAUGAGGGCAGCUUUUUUAGAUUCCACAUAUAAGUGGUACUACAUAUAUCGUGCCUUUCUCUGGCUGACUUAUUUACUUAGCAUUAUGUCCUCUGGGUCCAUCCAUGCUGUUGCAAAUGGCAGGAUGUCCUUUCUAAUUUCUCAUGGAAUACAUAUAUUCCAUUGUUUAUAUACGAACAGCACAUCUUUUUUAAAUCCAGUCAUACAACUCAAUAGCAAAAAAAAAAAAAAAAGAAAAAAAAAAAG
rnacentral:lncRNA from 1 species